UCCUCCCAGAUGCUCUGAGGCUCUUUAGCUGCCUUGAGCCCCAGGAGAUUUCGUCAAGAUGGCAGUGUAGGCGGACUCUGAACUCACCUCCUCCCACAAACACAGCCAGGUUAUAACUAUUCUUGGAAAAAUUACCCUGGAGAGAAAACUGAAAACUGGAUAAGAAGAACCCCCACAACAAGGGACAGUCCCGACUCAGGUGGAAGAGGCAGAAAUUCCUCUCUGGAGAGAAAAAAGCCACCUUCGCAAGCCGUGGACCUUCACAGCAGGGCAGGAGCCACCCUAAGAAAUUCAAUCCAUUUUCAAAACGCAUUGUUCUGGUUGAGAUAAUUACUCACUUACGCAUGAAAAGGAGAGAAGUCUACUGCAGUCUACUGAUGAAUUACCUGUUUCAGAGGGUGCGGUACAUAGGGUUAAAAUGCCUCAACAAAUAUGCUUCAGAUGCUAUCUGCUCCUGGAGACAAGAAAAUCAGAAGAAACUUCCGGUUUCCAGUUCUGCAUGUCAGCAGCUUGGAAGUUGCCAUUUCAUCCUACCAACAAGUGAAAAGCUGAAAAGACUGAAAAGUCAACAACUCUUCUUGGGUCUGAAAGUGAGAGGAGGACACAAGGCAAAGUGCUGCCCCAAGAUUGGAGAGAUGGACAGGCAAAUACAGAGAAUGACAACUCACUGGAACAGAGAUUCACGAGCGGAAACCACCAUGGGGACAGGGCUGGGGCAGGAGAACCCGCACUGUAAUUGACAAAUUGCUGGAGGCUCAGUGUGGACAAUUCAGAGUUAGAAACUCCAGAGGAUCCGAUCAUAGGGAGCCCCACAGUGUUGUGAGAUUUAUCUCUAGUCGCUGGACCAGGUUCGACCAGGAGCUCAACCACAGUUCAUUUUGAUGGCUGGGACCACAGAUGUGACUGUUGAAUGGAUGCCGAAAGCCCUGACAUUCACCCAGUUGGAUGGUGUGACGUCACAGGGUACCCACUGGCAGCGCCAUGUCACUUUUUUUUUUAACCUGGAAAACCCUAUGGCAAGACAGUAAAAAAUGAAGCAUUUGAUAGUUCUUGAAGAUGAGACCCAAAGGCACUCAAAUGGUUACUGGGGAAGAGCAAAGAACAAAUACAAAUAGCCCAGUUGCUAAUGACGCGGCCAGACUAAAGCCAAAGGACGUCCAGGGGCUGCAGGGAACAAGGGUGCAAGGAAGGUUCAAAGCAGUAAGGCACACAGCACUGGAGCACGGAACGCCAGGAGCACCAUCAAGGCAAAGGAGGCUGUGGAGCAGGAAACUGGACACUUGCAUAUUGCCGUCCUUGGCUUAGCAAACUACAGUGGACUGGAACGGGACACUUCAGUCAGACAACUACAAAGGGCCCUGCUCUGGAAAUGACAGACUCGGAAGAACAGAGUGGCUCCAGUGCGGGGGCAGGAGGUUGCACAGGUGGUGAGGGGCUCUGAUGUGAGGUCUGGCUGAUAAAUCAGUCAGACUUCUGGGAAAACCUAUGAACAUGACCAUCAUCCAAGUCUGUGCUCCAGCUAUGGAUGCUGAAGAAGAUGAAGUUGAAAGUUUUAUGCAAGUAUCCGAGAAGAAAUUGAUCACACACAAGACAUGCUGAUAAAUAUAGGUGACAAUGUACACGUAGGAAAUAAAGUGCAAUCUAACAGAAGUGAAAAGCAGGAGAUGGCUAGUGGAUUUCUGUGAAGUCAACAAUCUGUUAUUUUAUUUAGGUAUGCUUUUUGUGAAAAGCAUAUAAAGUGUUAAAAAUAAAAUCCCAUUGUAGGGGAUGAAGACAUUUCCUCUACCUGCUCCUGGUUCUUCUGACUGGACAACAAAUUAAAUUCACAUGAGAUCAAGUAACAGGACAAAAUCAAACAAGGCUUUAUAACAUGUAUACAUGGGAGAGGCUCAGGCAAACUGAGCAACUCGUCAAAAUGGUGGAAGCUCUUAUCUUAAAUAUCACCCUCAGCUAAAGACAAAGGAGGAUGUUGGGGGUGGGGGAAGUCAGUUAUGGCAGAUUACCAGAAAAGCACAGUAAAUAAGAGUAAGGUUAUUAUUCAGAUUUAAGUCCUUGCCUUCUGCAUUGAUAAGAGUUUCUAGAGAUAAUGUCAGCCCCCCUUCCUCCUGGCACAGAGAGGGAGACACCUUUACAGAGGGAGAUUGCCUUUACAAAUGUAAAUAUCCCUUAAGAAAGGGUAACUUCUACUUCUCAGAGUUUCUCUCAUGUCUUCAAUUUUUUAAAAGUAACUGGCCCAAAAUAUUCCUCAUGCCAAAGAGACGUACCUUGGGGUGGCCAACCAGUCCCCCAUACCAUCUUUUCCUCUUGGUAACAAAGUUUGACGUAUUCGCAGUUAUUGUUAUAAUUAUUAUAUAAACUGUACAUAAGCCAACUUGCUUUUUGCCUUAAAUGUUUUGCUUGUUUCUUUUUUAUUUUUAUUUUUUUGCUGAUGGUGGAGCAGGAGAGGCUUUCAUUCCUUGCUUAUCUAGAACAUUUUGUUUGUUGGUAACUUCUAGCUUAGAAGGAAGGCUUUUAAUUAUUCUAAUGGUUACUGUAAAGUUUUUCAGAUGCAUUUGUAAACCGACAUUUACCUAUCAAAGCCAUUAGAACUGUAAUCUUUAGCUUUCUUUUGUGAAACUUGAGAUGCGAAAUGCUUCUUUUUUCCCUAAUCCAAUUUACCUACUUGUAUUAAUUGAAUUUGAGAUUAUGUACCUUACUCUUUUCUUUCUUUGUUUCCAGUUUUUAAGCAGUAGAGAACAACUCUUGGAAAGAAAUAAAAG
rnacentral:lncRNA from 1 species